AUGAGUUGCGAACGGGUGAGUAACGCGUAGGUAACCUGCCUUGUAGCGGGGGAUAACUAUUGGAAACGAUAGCUAAUACCGCAUAACAAUGGAUGACACAUGUCAUUUAUUUGAAAGGGGCAAUUGCUCCACUACAAGAUGGACCUGCGUUGUAUUAGCUAGUAGGUGAGGUAAUGGCUCACCUAGGCGACGAUACAUAGCCGACCUGAGAGGGUGAUCGGCCACACUGGGACUGAGACACGGCCCAGACUCCUACGGGAGGCAGCAGUAGGGAAUCUUCGGCAAUGGGGGCAACCCUGACCGAGCAACGCCGCGUGAGUGAAGAAGGUUUUCGGAUCGUAAAGCUCUGUUGUAAGUCAAGAACGGGUGUGAGAGUGGAAAGUUCACACUGUGACGGUAGCUUACCAGAAAGGGACGGCUAACUACGUGCCAGCAGCCGCGGUAAUACGUAGGUCCCGAGCGUUGUCCGGAUUUAUUGGGCGUAAAGCGAGCGCAGGCGGUUUGAUAAGUCUGAAGUUAAAGGCUGUGGCUCAACCAUAGU
rnacentral:rRNA from 1 species